AUUACAGAGUUAUCCAACUCCCAACCCUUUGUGAACCUUACCGCAGUUGCCUCGGCGCGAGCCGCGGCUACCCUGCAGCUACCCUGUAGCUGCCGCGUAGCACGCACAUGGCCCGCCGGUGGACAGCUAAACUCUUGUAUGUACACAAGUAUGUCUGAUUGCUUAAAUAAAAUAAGUCAAAACUUUCAACAACGGAUCUCUUGGUUCUGGCAUCGAUGAAGAACGCAGCGAAAUGCGAUAAGUAAUGUGAAUUGCAGAAUUCAGUGAAUCAUCGAAUCUUUGAACGCACAUUGCGCCCAUUAGUAUUCUAGUGGGCAUGCCUAUUCGAGCGUCAUUUCAACCCUUAAGCCUCUGUCGCUUAGCGUUGGGAGUCUACGUCUACAGCGUAUCUCCUCAAAGUUAGUGGCGGUGCUGGAGCACACUCUCAGCGUAGUAGUUUUCUUCUCGCUUCUGUAGUGGCCCCUGCAGCCUGCCGUAAAACCUCCAACACUUAGUGGUUGACCUCGGAUUAGGUAGGAAUACCCGCUGAACUUAAGCAUAUCAAUAAGCGGAGGAAAAGAAACCAACAGGGAUUGCCCUAGUAACGGCGAGUGAAGCGGCAACAGCUCAAAUUUGAAAUCUGGCCCUCGCGGUCCGAGUUGUAAUUUGUAGAGGAUGCUUUUGGUGCGGCGCCUUCCGAGUUCCCUGGAACGGGACGCCGGAGAGGGUGAGAGCCCCGUACGGUUGGACGCCUAGCCUAUAUAUAGCUCCUUCGACGAGUCGAGUAGUUUGGGAAUGCUGCUCUAAAUGGGAGGUAAAUUUCUUCUAAAGCUAAAUACCGGCCAGAGACCGAUAGCGCACAAGUAGAGUGAUCGAAAGAUGAAAAGCACUUUGAAAAGAGGGUUAAAUAGCACGUGAAAUUGUUGAAAGGGAAGCGUUUGCGACCAGACUUUUUCCAGGGGAAUCAUCCGGUGUUCUCACCGGUGCACUUCCCCUGGUUUAGGCCAGCGUCGGUUCUCUUAGGGGGAUAAAGGUUUGGGGAACGUAGCUCUUUCGGGAGUGUUAUAGCCCCUUGCGUAAUACCCUUCGGGGGACCGAGGAUCGC
rnacentral:rRNA from 1 species